GUGGGGAAUCUUAGACAAUGGGCGCAAGCCUGAUCUAGCCAUGCCGCGUGAGCGAUGAAGGCCUUAGGGUUGUAAAGCUCUUUCGUGGGGGAAGAUAAUGACUGUACCCCAAGAAGAAGCCCCGGCUAACUCCGUGCCAGCAGCCGCGGUAAUACGGAGGGGGCUAGCGUUGUUCGGAAUUACUGGGCGUAAAGCGCACGUAGGCGGACUGGAAAGUCAGGGGUGAAAUCCCGGGGCUCAACCCCGGAACUGCCUUUGAAACUCCUGGUCUUGAGGUCGAGAGAGGUGAGUGGAAUUCCGAGUGUAGAGGUGAAAUUCGUAGAUAUUCGGAGGAACACCAGUGGCGAAGGCGGCUCACUGGCUCGAUACUGACGCUGAGGUGCGAAAGCGUGGGGAGCAAACAGGAUUAGAUACCCCAGUAGUCC
rnacentral:rRNA from 1 species